CGGACGGAGGAUGGAUGAGGUUACCUAGGAAAAAAUCGGGGCGAUCUAGGCGGGCGAACCUCGCCAACGAACGAUACGGACAUGGGGAUAACGGAAGAGGGGCGUCGGCUCGACUUCGUCGGUUCCUCGGGGCCGAGGGCACGUACGGUGAAUAGGGACGGUCGGGGCCGCCCGUACCGGGGUCGUGAGAGGUGAAAAUUCUAGGAUCGACCCGAGACGAACCGCCGCGAAAAGCAUUCGGCAAGGACGCUUUCAUUAAUCAAGAACGAAAUCGGGGGGAUCGAAGACGAUCAGAUACCGUCGUAGUCCCGACCGUAAACGAUGCCGACCGAGGGCCCGGAGGAGUUACGUACGACCCUCCGGGCCCUCCCGCGAGAAAUCAGGAGUAUUCGGGUUCCGGGGGGG
rnacentral:rRNA from 1 species